GAUGAACGCUGGCGGCGUGCCUAAUACAUGCAAGUCGAGCAAACAGACGAGGAGCUUGCUCCUCUGACGUUAGCGGCGGACGGGUGAGUAACACGUGGAUAACCUACCUAUAAGACUGGGAUAACUUCGGGAAACCGGAGCUAAUACCGGAUAAUAUAUUGAACCGCAUGGUUCAAUAGUGAAAGACGGUUUUGCUGUCACUUAUAGAUGGAUCCGCGCCGCAUUAGCUAGUUGGUAAGGUAACGGCUUACCAAGGCAACGAUGCGUAGCCGACCUGAGAGGGUGAUCGGCCACACUGGAACCGAGACACGGUCCAGACUCCUACGGGAGGCAGCAGUAGGGAAUCUUCCGCAAUGGGCGAAAGCCUGACGGAGCAACGCCGCGUGAGUGAUGAAGGUCUUCGGAUCGUAAAACUCUGUUAUUAGGGAAGAACAAAUGUGUAAGUAACUAUGCACGUCUUGACGGUACCUAAUCAGAAAGCCACGGCUAACUACGUG
rnacentral:rRNA from 1 species